rnacentral:rRNA from 1 species
AUUGAACGCUGGCGGCAGGCCUAACACAUGCAAGUCGAGCGGAUGAAGGGAGCUUGCUCCUGGAUUCAGCGGCGGACGGGUGAGUAAUGCCUAGGAAUCUGCCUGGUAGUGGGGGAUAACGUCCGGAAACGGGCGCUAAUACCGCAUACGUCCUGAGGGAGAAAGUGGGGGAUCUUCGGACCUCACGCUAUCAGAUGAGCCUAGGUCGGAUUAGCUAGUUGGUGGGGUAAAGGCCUACCAAGGCGACGAUCCGUAACUGGUCUGAGAGGAUGAUCAGUCACACUGGAACUGAGACACGGUCCAGACUCCUACGGGAGGCAGCAGUGGGGAAUAUUGGACAAUGGGCGAAAGCCUGAUCCAGCCAUGCCGCGUGUGUGAAGAAGGUCUGCGGAUUGUAAAGCACUUUAAGUUGGGAGGAAGGGCAGUAAGUUAAUACCUUGCUGUUUGGACGUUACCAACAGAAUAAGCACCGGCUAACUUCGU